rnacentral:rRNA from 1 species
CAGCAGCACGGUAAUACGGAGGGCGCGAGCGUUACCCGGAUUUACUGGGCGUAAAGGGCGUGUAGGCGGCCUGGGGCGUCCCAUGUGAAAGGCCACGGCUCAACCGUGGAGGAGCGUGGGAUACGCUCAGGCUAGAGGGUGGGAGAGGGUGGUGGAAUUCCCGGAGUAGCAGUGAAAUGCGCAGAUACCGGGAGGAACGCCGAUGGCGAAGGCAGCCACCUGGUCCACUUCUGACGCUGAGGCGCGAAAGCGUGGGGAGCAAACCGGAUUAGAUACCCCCGUAGUCCCUGUCUCUUAUACA